UUGCAGUCGCAUUGCGUUGCCCUCUCAAUUGGUUAUUUUGUUAUCUUGCUUGCUCAAUCCAGAGAAGUCUCUCACAUUGAAUACUCUCUUAUCUUUCAUAUUCUUCUUGCACAAAAUCAAAAUUGCCAGUCUUCUCCCCGUUAGGGAACUUUAAAGGUAACCCUUUCCAGGAUUUUUUGUUUUUUGUUCUUGGUUUUGGUGAGUAAUUUUCGCAGCUAUGAGAGAGCAUCAUCAACAAAGUGGGCAGCAAAAUCGGCAGAAGAAAAGAAGCAAGAAAAGAAUUAAUGGGGCGGCAUCGUCAGCAUGCUGUGGUGGGUGGUGGCCAAGUUAUGCUGUUGCCUCAGCGUUUAGAGGGGUCGGUAGAUGCAUGUAUGUUGGGUGUUUUCCUAUUGUCAGAUGCCUUGGAUUGGAUGAUUGCAGACACCAUCACCACCACCACAAACAUUUUCAUUGAGAAUGAACGAAUUUUGUUGCUACAUGCUUCUUGCCUUUUUCAUAUUUAUGUAAAUAUUGUAUUGCUGUUAAGAUUGGGUAUGAGUCUAAAAACAUCCAAAAUUUUUCCCUUUUGGAAUUGUUUGUGAGGUGGGUUUGUGCUCUUCUUCCUCACCAAGACUAGUCUGUAUGCUGUAAUUUUACAUGAAUAAAUAGGGAAAGAAAAGGAAAUAGUUGUUGUAUUAAAACAGAACAGGGUCAUUCAAACUAUUGAAUUUCUUAGUCAUACAAUAACAACAUGUGUUGUUGUAAUAAGGCUUAAUAUUUGAGUAAAACAAAAUUCAAUAACUGGCAUAUUGAAGCAAAUUAGUCUAAUGAAAUUACUAAUUGUCUCCGGUUGAAAGAUGCUAUCUUUCAAUUGACCAAAUGGCCUGUCAGUUUCUUGACAUCAGAUGGUUUGAGUGGCUUGAGCAUGAACAUUUGAGCCCCUUCCUCUAAGCACCUGUUGAUAUGCAGAUUGAAAUUCUCAUUAGAUUGACACAAAUAAAAAAAAUUAUUGCAAAUUAGCAUAAGAAAUCACGUAGUAUUAGCGAAUAAUUACUCGUUAAUACGAGUUGGAAUGUUCUCCGACGACACAACCACAACCGGAACCUCCUUCAUAACUGAUGAUUCCUGCAAAAAAAACAAAGAUUGAAUGAAAUGAAUCUUGCAAAACCAGAGUUGCAGAUCCAAGAAGAUUAAUUAUAAAGCACCUUAAUUUUCUUUAGAAGCUCGUAUCCCGUCAUUCCUGGCAUACAAUAAUCUGUAAUCACCAAAUUCACCUUUGUGCCCUGCAAUGAAUGAAACAAAUCGAUCCCAUUUACAUACAUUGCUUAUCACUCCCACAAUUAAGAACUAAAAAUUGAAAAAAAAAAUAUUUACAUUGCUGUUCAGGUUAUUUUGUUGUUCUUGUUCAUCAACUAAGCCCAGAAACUCCAGUGCCCGCAUCCCAUUCUCUGCUGUUGUCACUGCCAAAUCAAUUUAUACAAUUUGUGACUGUCAAAAAAUGGGAGGGAAAAAAUUUACUCUUUUCGUGUCAAGAGUAAUUAAAAGUACCUUUACAAGCGGAGUUUUUGAGCAAAUUUUCUACAAUUUUGCGAUCAACAAUACUAUCAUCAACAGCCAAAACAUGGGGUGGUUUUGGAUUUGAUGAUGAUGAUGAUGAUGAUGAAGCAACACCACAAGCAUCCAUUACGGCACACAGUCACACACUGCUGUGUGUUGAUGCUAAAAAAUUAAGCAGAAGCAGAAAGCAAAAGCACUUCUUAUGUAACAAAAUUGAGACAAAACAAACUCACAGGAAAUUUGUGAAGAUGGUAUUUAAAAAGUAAAAAAAAAAGAAAAAGAAAUAAGCAAGUUGGUGGGUGAUCAGAGGAAUUUGUAAUUAUAAUGAAUGAUGAAUUGUUAUAGGAGAUGACAUUAAAAUCAAAGAAGAUAUAUCACAGAUAUUUCGUGAUCCUUUUUGGGGUUUCUCAUUUUAUAUUUAUUUUUAUUUUUAGGUUUGAUUGAAUCGGUCCCCAUCUUUUUCUGAAGAUCUUCAUGCAGUAAGAACAAGUUUAUACGUAAUGUGGGAUUUUGGACCACAUGUAUAAUAUUAGGUUUCUGUUCUAACUUAUUUUCUU
rnacentral:lncRNA from 1 species